rnacentral:lncRNA from 1 species
GAUCAAAAUGAUAUUGAUGAGAUAUCAAAAGCAAUAAUUGCAGAAAAUGAGCGGACAAAAAUAAAAAGCAAGAUAUCAGCUGUUAAUGAAACAAGUCAAGUUCGACAUGAAG